UUAAGUUAAUAAGGGCGCACGGUGGAUGCCUUGGCACUAGGAGCCGACGAAGGACGUGACAAACGACGAUAUGCCUUGGGUAGCUGUAAGUAAGCGAUGAUCCAGGGAUUUCCGAAUGGGGGAACCCAACAGGUAAUACCUGUUACCUACAUCUGUUAAGGAUGUGAGGAGGAAGACGCAGUGAACUGAAACAUCUAAGUAGCUGCAGGAAGAGAAAGCAAAAGCGAUUGCCUUAGUAGCGGCGAGCGAAACGGCAGAAGGGCAAACCGAAGAGUUUACUCUUCGGGGUUGUAGGACUGCAAUGUGGACUCAAAGAUUAUAGAAGAAUGAUUUGGGAAGAUCAGCCAAAGAGAGUAAUAGCCUCGUAUUUAAAAUAGUCUUUGUACUUAGCAGUAUCCUGAGUACGGCGGGACACGUGAAAUCCCGUCGGAAUCUGGGAGGACCAUCUCCCAACCCUAAAUACUCCCUAGUGACCGAUAGUGAACCAGUACCGUGAGGGAAAGGUGAAAAGCACCCCGGGAGGGGAGUGAAAUAGAACCUGAAACCGUGUGCCUACAACAAGUUCGAGCCCGUUAAUGGGUGAGAGCGUGCCUUUUGUAGAAUGAACCGGCGAGUUACGUUAUGAUGCGAGGUUAAGUUGAAGAGACGGAGCCGUAGGGAAACCGAGUCUGAAUAGGGCGCCUUAGUAUCAUGACGUAGACCCGAAACCAUGUGACCUACCCAUGAGCAGGUUGAAGGUGCGGUAAGACGCACUGGAGGACCGAACCAGGGCACGUUGAAAAGUGCUUGGAUGACUUGUGGGUAGCGGAGAAAUUCCAAACGAACUUGGAGAUAGCUGGUUCUCUCCGAAAUAGCUUUAGGGCUAGCGUCGACAUUAGAGAUUCUUGGAGGUAGAGCACUGUUUGGGUGAGGGGUCCAUCCCGGAUUACCAAUCUCAGAUAAACUCCGAAUGCCAAUGAAUUAUGGUCGGCAGUCAGACUGCGAGUGCUAAGAUCCGUAGUCGAAAGGGAAACAGCCCAGACCACCAGCUAAGGUCCCAAAAUAAUUGUUAAGUGGAAAAGGAUGUGGGGUUGCACAGACAACUAGGAUGUUAGCUUAGAAGCAGCUAUUCAUUCAAAGAGUGCGUAAUAGCUCACUAGUCGAGUGACCCUGCGCCGAAAAUGUACCGGGGCUAAAACAAUUUACCGAAGCUGUGGAUACCUUUAUAGGUAUGGUAGGAGAGCGUUCUAUGUGUGAUGAAGGUAUACCGUGAGGAGUGCUGGAACGCAUAGAAGUGAGAAUGCCGGUAUGAGUAGCGAAAGACAGGUGAGAAUCCUGUCCACCGUAAGACUAAGGUUUCCAGGGGAAGGCUCGUCCGCCCUGGGUUAGUCGGGACCUAAGGAGAGACCGAAAGGUGUAUCCGAUGGACAACAGGUUGAUAUUCCUGUACUAGAGUAUGUAGUGAUGGAGGGACGCAGUAGGCUAACUAAAGCAGACGAUUGGAAGAGUCUGUCUAAGCAGUGAGGUGUGAAUUGAGUCAAAUGCUUAAUUCUAUAACAUUGAGCUGUGAUGGGGAGCGAAGUUUAGUAGCGAAGUUAGUGACGUCACACUGCCAAGAAAAGCUUCUAGCGUUUAAACAUACUCUACCCGUACCGCAAACCGACACAGGUAGUCGAGGCGAGUAGCCUCAGGUGAGCGAGAGAACUCUCGUUAAGGAACUCGGCAAAAUGACCCCGUAACUUCGGGAGAAGGGGUGCUGACUUNAAGUCAGCCGCAGUGAAUAGGCCCAAGCAACUGUUUAUCAAAAACACAGCUCUCUGCUAAAUCGUAAGAUGAUGUAUAGGGGGUGACGCCUGCCCGGUGCUGGAAGGUUAAGAGGAGUGCUUAGCGUAAGCGAAGGUAUGAAUUGAAGCCCCAGUAAACGGCGGCCGUAACUAUAACGGUCCUAAGGUAGCGAAAUUCCUUGUCGGGUAAGUUCCGACCCGCACGAAAGGCGUAAUGAUUUGGGCACUGUCUCAACGAGAGACUCGGUGAAAUUUUAGUACCUGUGAAGAUGCAGGUUACCCGCGACAGGACGGAAAGACCCCAUGGAGCUUUACUGCAGUUUGAUAUUGAGUGUCUGUACCACAUGUACAGGAUAGGUAGGAGUCUAAGAGAUCGGGACGCCAGUUUCGAAGGAGACGCUGUUGGGAUACUACCCUUGUGUUAUGGCCACUCUAACCCAGAUAGGUGAUCCCUAUCGGAGACAGUGUCUGACGGGCAGUUUGACUGGGGCGGUCGCCUCCUAAAAGGUAACGGAGGCGCCCAAAGGUUCCCUCAGAAUGGUUGGAAAUCAUUCGCAGAGUGUAAAGGUAUAAGGGAGCUUGACUGCGAGAGCUACAACUCGAGCAGGGACGAAAGUCGGGCUUAGUGAUCCGGUGGUUCCGUAUGGAAGGGCCAUCGCUCAACGGAUAAAAGCUACCCUGGGGAUAACAGGCUUAUCUCCCCCAAGAGUUCACAUCGACGGGGAGGUUUGGCACCUCGAUGUCGGCUCGUCGCAUCCUGGGGCUGUAGUCGGUCCCAAGGGUUGGGCUGUUCGCCCAUUAAAGCGGCACGCGAGCUGGGUUCAGAACGUCGUGAGACAGUUCGGUCCCUAUCCGUCGCGGGCGUAGGAAAUUUGAGAGGAUCUGCUCCUAGUACGAGAGGACCAGAGUGGACUUACCGCUGGUGUACCAGUUGUCUUGCCAAAGGCAUCGCUGGGUAGCUAUGUAGGGAAGGGAUAAACGCUGAAAGCAUCUAAGUGUGAAACCCACCUCAAGAUGAGAUUUCCCAUGAUUAUAUAUCAGUAAGAGCCCUGAGAGAUGAUCAGGUAGAUAGGUUAGAAGUGGAAGUGUGGCGACACAUGUAGCGGACUAAUACUAAUAGCUCGAGGACUUAUCCAA
rnacentral:rRNA from 1 species